ACAUGCCUACAACAUAGCGUUAAUGCACUGGAUCCCAUUAGAACUUUGUAGUUAAGCGUGCACAUGCUAGAGUAGUACUGAGAUGGGUGACCUUUUGGGAAGUCCUAAUGUCUUACAUUCC
rfam:Picea glauca, whole genome shotgun sequence.